rnacentral:lncRNA from 1 species
GUAUGGAUGACUGAAAAGGAACAAGAGGGAACUUUAUGAGAAUCAGUUCAAUAGCAACAAAUGGUCUACUUACUCCAGCUCCCAGCUUCCUUUGGCAUUCCCAGCAUUGCCCUGAGAAGGUCCUCCUCCAAGAAAAGAGCACCAGCUGCCUAAGUUUAAGCAAUGGCCAUAACCCCCUCCUCUGUACCCUAAGUUUUAUUAAGUCCACCUCUUCCCUCCAGCUCCAACAGACCCAGGAGGUCAGCUGCUUCCUGCAGACACUAAUCUCCAACAUGUGAAGAAAAAGUGACCACUCCUCUUUAUGAUGAGAAAUUAGACAAACUGAUAAUCAGCAGCUCUUCAUGGACUUAUCAGAGAACUGAAGUUGCAGGGCAAUCUGCCACUCUAAAAUUUGGAGACCCAGGCCCGACUACUGAGACCCCACCAGAUCUCCUCACCUGGAGCAGAAUCUAUGGAACCGUAACUGACAGAAACAUUUAACUGAUAAUUUUGAUGAACUGUUGGGAAAUGAAUGUAGACUUGUGUCAGAAGGAAAAACUCCUGGGGCAGCAGUCUUAAAAGUGUCCCAUACUCAGGGGCUUUACCUGCGGGAAAACCACCAGGUUCUCAUAACGAAAAUCCAAGAAAAGUUCUCCACAUUGUCUAGAAGGGGGAGGAGAAGAAUAAUCAUUGUGAAAUAUACCUAGAGACUUCUCCAUAACAACGACCUACUUUCCAGGGGGAAAAACUUUGCCAGAGACUUAUCUCAGUUGGAGGAAGACCAUUCCUCCAACGCCAGGCCCUUCUUGUCU